GAUAGUAAAAGAGAAAUAUAUAUUUAAAACGGAAAUAAAAAUAAUUAUAAUAAAUAAUUUCAUUAUGUCUCAUCAAUUUACAAUGCCAAAUCUAAUUACAGUUCUAAAAUCAAAUCAAAUUACAAAUUAAAAUUAAAGUCAAAUUAAAUUACAAUAAAAUUUAAACCAAACCAAAUUAAGCCAGUCUGCCUUGGCUCUGUUUUUUUGUUGUCCUUAUUGUUGCCUUUCUGUUGCUGAUGCAAUAUCAUGGUUGAGGCACUAGCCUUUGCUUUGUAACUAAAUCGAGAAACAAAAAAACAUAAUUUUUAAGUAAAUCUUUGUACACAUUAUACAGAGAAAAGAGACAAAUGAACAAAUCAACAAAUCAAAACAAAUAAGCUAAAACCAUGAAUACAUCAAAUGUGUAGAAAAAACGCAGAUGAUGGACAUAAGAAAAUAAGCAUCAAACAUGAAAUUGAUGGAGAAGGACAAAUGCAAGCAAGAAAGCAAUUAAACAAUAAAAAAUUCUAUAAAUACACCUUAUCAAAUUUCAAAAAAGGAGAAAUCGAACACAAAUCAGAAAAUACCUAAAACGAAGAAGAAGAAGGAAAUAGCAAAUAAAAACAAACAGAAGAAGAAGAGUUAAGGUAAAUUUUUCUCUUUAUAUUAUAAUUAUUUUAUAUAUAUAUAUAUAUAAAAAUGCAAAAUUUCGAUUUAAAAUAGGACAAACAAGACAACAUUUUAAAUGAAAAUAAAAAAAUAAUGAAGUCCGAAAUCACAUACCUCCGAUGAGUGUCAACGUCGCUGUCACGCUCUCCAAAUCGCAUAUGUAUCUGGUCUGAUACAUUUCAUUUGAUUCAAUCUCGAUUCGGGAGAGAUGGAGGUCGCAAGAAGAGGAGACGGCGAUGGCGACGCGUGCUACGACGUUGGUUAGGUUGCGGUCUUCAUCUAGGUCCUCCGUGUUGGUUGUGGUAUUCAUCUACGAUUUAUGUGUCUCCUUCAUGCAAGACUCCAUCUCUUUUCUUCUUUUUCCCCGCUGAUGCCUUCUGCUGCGGCCGCCUCACUAUUUUGUAAUCUAGG
rnacentral:lncRNA from 1 species